rnacentral:rRNA from 1 species
GCCGCAGUAUUUUAACUGUGCAAAGGUAGCAUAAUCAUUUGUCUCUUAAUUAGAGGCUUGUAUGAAUGGCUGGAUGAGGAAUUAACUUUCUUUAUUUUAUUUUAUUGAAUUUUAUUUUUUAGUUAAAAAGCUGAAAUUUUUUUAUUAGACGAGAAGACCCUAUAGAACUUUAUUUUAAUUUAUAUUUUUAUAUUUUUGGUUUAUUUGUAUAUAUUAUUUAUUAUUAUUUUGUUGGGGUGACAGGUAAAUUUUUUUAACUUUACUUUUUUUAUUUCAUUUAUUUAUGAUUUUUUUGAUCCAUUUAUUUAUGAUUAUAAGUUUAAGUUACCUUAGGGAUAACAGCGUAAUUUUAUUGGAGAGUUCUUAUUUAUAAUAAAGUUUGCGACCUCGAUGUUGGAUUAAA